UCCCUAAUCUCCUGUCAAAUUCUGCUUUGGGCGGCGAAGACAAGGACGAAGAAGAUGUUACAUUCGAAGACGAUGAUAUCCUUAGUCUUCUGUCAGAGAAGGCUAAUUCUGCAUUGGACGGUGAAGACAAGGACGAAGAGGAUGUUACAUUUGAAGACGAUGAUAUCCUUCGUCUUCUGUCGGA